rnacentral:rRNA from 1 species
CUUGAACGCUGGCGGCCGGCUUAACACAUGCAAGUCGAGCGGGGGAAGGUAGCUUGCUACCGGACCUAGCGGCGGACGGGUGAGUAAUGCUUCGGAAUCUGCCUUCUAGUGGGGGACAACAUCUCGAACGGGAUGCUAAUACCGCAUACGUCCUACGGGAGAAAGCAGGCGAUGUUCGGACCUUACGCCAAUAGAUGAGCCUAAGACGGCUUAGCUAGUUGUUGGGGUAAAGGCCUACCACGGCGACGAUCUGUAGCGGGUCUGAGAGGAUGAUCCGCCACACUGGGACUGAGACACGGCCCAGACUCCUACGGGAGGCAGCAGUGGGGAAUAUUGGACAAUGGGGGGAACCCUGAUCCAGCCAUGCCGCGUGUGUGAAGAAGGCCUUAUGGUUGUAAAGCACUUUAAGCGAGGAGGAGGCUACUUUAGUUAAUACCUGGAGAUAGUGGACGUUACUCGCAGAAUAAGCACCGGCUAACUCUGUGCCAGCCGCCGCCGUAA